rnacentral:rRNA from 3 species
UUCGCCGCCCGUGACUCUGCGAGAAGUCCAUUGAACCUUAUCAUUUAGAGGAAGGAGAAGUCGUAACAAGGUUUCCGUAGGUGAACCUGCGGAAGGAUCAUUG